ACAAAAAGAUAAUGUUAAGCAAUAUUUUGCAUGUGGUUAAUAAAUAUUCUUCAACAGCAAGCAGUGACACAUUCAAACUUAAAUCCAGUUAUUUCUUUUACAUUUUAGAAAAGUAAUAACUUUUUUCCAGUUAAAACAAGGUCACAAAUUACAGCACAUUAUCAUCCUCUUUAAUUAUUUAUAACUAUGAAACCUACUAAAUAAGUGAACUGUCACCCAGAAGAUUUUAUAUGACAUUGAUGUUCAAGGUUAAGUAUACUUACAUUUAUCAUGCAGUUUCUUACUGUGCAUAUUUGAUUGGUGUUUAAUUUCCUUUAAAAUUAUUGGUUCCGUUCUUCCCAUUUGCUUAUUUCUUGUUAAUAUACCAGAAGCAUGUAUUUUCAAACUCCUAUACAUUUUCACACCUAAGUGACUCACUAAAGUAGAUUUGUCAUAGAAUUAAUAAAUGCUCUCUGACUCCAGCCCAGCUGAGAAAUUGCUAACAAUGUCUGAAUCAGACUCCAUGUUACUUUCACUAGUUUUUAAGUCAAGUAUGUAACAAUAUUUAGUGUAAUCACUUCCAUUAAAAUUAAAGUGCCUUCAAAUGUUUCCUAAUAAAGUGACUAUUUGUAAGGGAGAGGGUGACUGGAUGCUGUAUAGGAACUGAUGUUUAACAGUUUAUAGAUACGGUGCAUAUGUAUGCUAAUAGAUGUAAAGUACUACAUUGCAUUCAGUGCUAAUUGUAGGCUACAGUAGCCUAUAAACUGAUAAAUUCAGCCAAAAUAAAUAUUUAAUAAAGAAUAUCAAAAGCAGUUGAUCAAAGCAAUACCUUGUUCCAUUCUGUUUUUCCAUCCAUCCUCAAGAACAUAGAUAGAUGGAUGAAGUACUCGAAAACAAAUAUAACACUUCAACCUGUUGAAGCUCAUCUUUUUGAAUAUCAGAUGAAUGAAAUCACUCAGUGUAAUCAUUAAAAAUCUUGAAUGCAUAAAGACACUCUCCAGGCCACCUGAUCAAGUGAAGUAUUCACAACAUUAUGUAAGGAAUUAAAAUUUGAAAGAAAAAUAUAACUUCUAAAACACCCAACAAUAAAAAUAUAUUCAUAUAUAUUUAUGUAGACACCAACACUAGAGGAAAAGUAUACAUCAUCUUGCAUAUUUUAAAACAUCCUCUAAAUUUCUUUUUGUGUUAUCACCUACUCCUAACUCAUGGCACUUUCGCAAUAUUCUUAAAAGGCAUUAAUAUAUACUAGGAAUGAAACAGACAUUAAGUCCUGUAUUUCAGUAUGGGUGGCUCUUCUUUUAAGGGCUUAUUUUCAUAGGUUAAAGAACUAAACCACCUCUAUCCAAAGGAGAACCCUGGCAUAGUCUCAGGUGUACUCCCCUUCUGUGAAAAAUCCUUACUGACUUCAGUGACGUAGAUAAAUAUUGUCAGGAUGUUAAUCACUGUUAGUUUAAAUUCAGUGCAAAUUUUGCCCUGAUCUCAGUCCAGCCCGCAAUGUUUAGCCUCUUCCAGUCAGAUGUAAUCACAGACUCCAAAACAGGAGUUCAAGGAUUCACCAGGACAGAUGUGAAUCUAGAAAAUUAAAUGGGUUUAAAAUAUUUUAAAACUUUUUAUGUGAUUAACAUCUGCCAUUCAUUGAAACAAACUUUUGAGCCUUUAGCUGCUACUACUAAAGGUCUAAAGUGAUAAAGUCCUUCACCGAGUCUCACGUGGCUGAUUUCAGAACAGAAUUAGAAGUUCUGAUUGUUAGGGAUUUUGGGUUAUCUACAGAAAUGUGGUGGAGGAGGUCUCCUAGACUAAAAAAAUCUAAAAACGAAGAGAAGAUAAUGUUAAAGGGAUACAACUUAGAGUUAUAUUGCAAACUGACAACAUUCUAGCAGAAGGUACAUUGUCACUGGGAAGAGGUGGAAGUAAUCCUAAAACUCUGCUUUCUAAAGAACCACUCCCUGUACUGGAGGCUGAAGUGUGAGCCAACUUUCAUAUAAAAUCACUUACCUACUUUAAUGCUUCAAAGUCUUCAAGAUAAAAACUUUAUAUAUGACAUAAAAUUAUACCACACUCAGAGAUUCUAUUUAGAUGUGUUUAGACAUUUGUACAUUUACCAUGCUCUGUGUUUUUUAAAUGAGGCUAUUUAACUUUCUGAGCUAAUUUUAAAAUGUCUUCUUCAUCUCCUUAAAACCCAUCAAAUUGCUUUCUAAAUUUUAGCAUUAUAUGUUUACCCAUAAUUGGGCAUAGACUGAUGAUAGCUUCAUAUCCAUACUGAAAUCAUUUUCCGCGAAUAUUUGUUGGGAAUGGAAAUGUUCAGAAGCAUAGGCUUCCUCUAUUUUGUGAAAGGCCAAGGCAAAAACUUGCACACAACUUAGCUUUCAGAAUAAGAAUGAGAGGUGUGGAGGGAAGAUGCUGAUUAUCUGUGCUUAAGUGAAAGUCACAGCUCUUGAGAAAAAAGUAGAAUUAACAAAGUUCUAUUUAAUUACUGAAGCUUCUUUCCCCUCUCCACCCUAGAUGUCCCUUAUGGCAGGAGGCACACAACACUGCAUGGUUUUCAGAAUGCAGUCAGCAGAAGCCUCUCAGUUUCAAAGGCACAACUCAUGUCCCUCAAGUUCAGCAGAAUUAUACAAGUAGUAUUUAAAUCUCCUAUGUUCUAAAAGUUACUUUCCCACAGCUCAUGGUAAUGAAAGCUCAGAACUGAAGCUGAUACAAAAAUACACAUUACCUCCCUCAAGGGCUUCUUCCUCAAUCAUCUCACAAUCUACUAAGAGUAACAAAUACAUUUGCUCCUUUGCUUUCCUCCUUUCCUCUCCCAUACGUCCCUACCUCUUCCCAUCUCCUUCUAGUUGCUUUCAUACAGAUAAUUUAUGGCCACCUCACUUCUGAAAAGUCUCACCACAUCAUAUGUUAUCUAUAAUCACUGGGAAGGGAGAGUAAUUCAGUAAGGCUCCUGUUUGGCGUCUGGUGAAGCUCUUUCAUGCUUCUUAACCUAGCAUAAUGCUCAGUU
rnacentral:lncRNA from 1 species